UACACUUUUCUAGAUUGAAGAAGAAGCAAAUGGAGAUAUUUUUGAUAUAGAAAUUGGUGUGUCAGAUCCGGAAAAAGUUGGUGAUGGCAUGAAUGCUUACAUGGCAUAUAGAGUAACAACCAAGACUUCUCUUUCCAUGUUCAGUAAGAGUGAAUUUUCAGUCAAAAGAAGAUUCAGUGACUUUCUUGGUUUGCAUAGCAAAUUAGCAAGCAAAUAUUUACAUGUUGGUUACAUUGUGCCACCAGCUCCAGAAAAGAGCAUAGUAGGUAUGACCAAGGUCAAAGUAGGUAAAGAAGACUCAUCGUCCACUGAGUUUGUAGAAAAACGAAGAGCAGCACUGGAGAGGUAUCUUCAAAGAACAGUAAAGCAUCCAACAUUGCUUCAGGAUCCUGACUUAAGGCAGUUCUUGGAAAGCUCAGAGCUGCCGAGAGCAGUUAAUACACAGGCUCUGAGUGGAGCAGGAAUAUUGAGGAUGGUGAACAAGGCUGCCGACGCUGUCAACAAAAUGACAAUCAAGAUGAAUGAAUCGGAUGCAUGGUUUGAAGAAAAGCAACAGCAAUUUGAGAAUCUUGACCAGCAACUUCGGAAACUUCAUGCCAGUGUC
rnacentral:lncRNA from 1 species